UACGUAGGGUGCAAGCGUUGUCCGGAAUUAUUGGGCGUAAAGAGCUCGUAGGCGGUCUGUCACGUCGGCUGUGAAAACCCGAGGCUCAACCUCGGGCCUGCAGUCGAUACGGGCAAACUAGAGUACUGCAGGGGAGACUGGAAUUCCUGGUGUAGCGGUGAAAUGCGCAGAUAUCAGGAGGAACACCGAUGGCGAAGGCAGGUCUCUGGGCCACUACUGACGCUGAGAAGCGAAAGCAUGGGGGAGCGAACAGG
rnacentral:rRNA from 1 species